rnacentral:rRNA from 1 species
AUUGAACGCUGGCGGCGUGCCUAACACAUGCAAGUCGAGCGGCAGCGCGGGAGCAAUCCUGGCGGCGAGCGGCGGACGGGUGAGUAAUGCUUGGGAAUCUGCCUGUUAGUGGGGGACAACCCGGGGAAACUCGGGCUAAUACCGCAUACGCACUACGGUGGAAAGCCGGGGACCGCAAGGCCUGGCGCUAACAGAUGAGCCCAAGUCGGAUUAGCUAGUUGGUAGGGUAACGGCCACCAAGGCGACGAUCCGUAACUGGUCUGAGAGGACGACCAGUCACACCGGAACUGAGACACGGUCCGGACUCCUACGGGAGGCAGCAGUGGGGAAUAUUGGACAAUGGGGGAAACCCUGAUCCAGCGACGCCGCGUGGGUGAAGAAGGCCUGCGGGUUGUAAAGCCCUUUCAGUGGGGAAGAAAAGCCUCGACCUAACACGUCGGGGUCUUGACGUAACCCAUAGAAGAAGCACCGGCUAACUCUGUGCCAGCAGCCGCAGUAAU